GAGCGAACUGAUUAGAAGCUUGCUUCUAUGACGUUAGCGGCGGACGGGUGAGUAACACGUGGGCAACCUGCCUGUAAGACUGGGAUAACUUCGGGAAAGCGAGGCUAAUACCGGAUAGGAUCUUCUCCGUCAUGGGAGAUGAUUGAAAGAUGGUUUCGGCUAUCACUUACAGAUGGGCCCGCGGUGCAUUAGCUAGUUGGUGAGGUAACGGCUCACCAAGGCAACGAUGCAUAGCCGACCUGAGAGGGUGAUCGGCCACACUGGGACUGAGACACGGCCCAGACUCCUACGGGAGGCAGCAGUAGGGAAUCUUCCGCAAUGGACGAAAGUCUGACGGAGCAACGCCGCGUGAGUGAUGAAGGCUUUCGGGUCGUAAAACUCUGUUGUUAGGGAAGAACAAGUACGAGAGUAACUGCUCGUACCUUGACG
rnacentral:rRNA from 1 species